rnacentral:rRNA from 1 species
UACGUAGGGGGCAAGCGUUGUCCGGAAUCAUUGGGCGUAAAGCGCGUGUAGGCGGUCCGGUAAGUCCGCUGUGAAAGUCGGGGGCUCAACCCUCGGAUGCCGGUGGAUACUGUCGGGCUUGAGUACGGAAGAGGCGAGUGGAAUUCCUGGUGUAGCGGUGAAAUGCGCAGAUAUCAGGAGGAACACCGGUGGCGAAGGCGGGUCUCUGGGCAAUAACUGACGCUGAGGAGCGAAAGCGUGGGGAGCGAACAGG